rnacentral:rRNA from 1 species
AGUGAACGCUGGCGGUAGGCCUAACACAUGCAAGUCGAACGGCAGCACAGUAAGAGCUUGCUCUUACGGGUGGCGAGUGGCGGACGGGUGAGGAAUACAUCGGAAUCUACUUUUUCGUGGGGGAUAACGUAGGGAAACUUACGCUAAUACCGCAUACGACCUACGGGUGAAAGCAGGGGAUCUUCGGGCCUUGCGCGAUUGAAUGAGCCGAUGUCGGAUUAGCUAGUUGGCGGGGUAAAGGCCCACCAAGGCGACGCUCCGUAGCUGGUCUGAGAGGAUGGACAGCCAGACUGGAACUGAGAAACGGUCCCGACUCCUACGGGAGGCAGCAGUGGGGAAUAUUGGACAAUGGGCGAAAGCCUGAUCCAGCCAUACCGCGUGGGUGAAGAAGGACUUCGGGUUGUAAAGCCCUUUUGUUGGGAAAGAAAAGCAGCAGGUUAAUACCCCGCUGUUCUGACGGUACCCAAAGAAUAAGCACCGGCUAACUUCGUG